UACGGGGGGGGCAAGCGUUGUUCGGAAUUACUGGGCGUAAAGGGCUCGUAGGCGGCCAACUAAGUCGGACGUGAAAUCCCUCGGCUUAACCGGGGAACUGCGUCCGAUACUGGAUGGCUUGAGUUUGGGAGAGGGAUGCGGAAUUCCAGGUGUAGCGGUGAAAUGCGUAGAUAUCUGGAGGAACACCGGUGGCGAAGGCGGCAUCCUGGACCGACACUGACGCUGAGGCGCGAAAGCUAGGGGAGCAAACGGG
rnacentral:rRNA from 1 species